UCAGAACUGAUCUGCUGAAACUCAACUAAGCCAUCUGCUAGCCACUGCCUGGCCUGCCUGCCCACCCUGGCCUGUCUCCAUCUACUCAUUUCUCCGUUACUGCCCACCUUCUGGGCAGGCACACAAAUAGUGUCUAUAUGACCACGCAUGCACACACCCCACCCACUUCCGACCCUAGACAGAUGUUCUCCCACCUGCCCAAACGCUUCUGUCUUUGUCCAGUCUUCCUCGCAGUGACCUAUGACUGCUGCUCUGGUUUCUUCCUGUUUCUGUGGUCUCCCAUGCAUCUCCCUUUUCUCUCUGCCUCAGUUAUAUGUUGGGUUUUGUCCCUGUCUCCUCCUCCCCCCUCUCGUGGCUGCCUGUUUCUUAGCUUCUCAGUGGCUAGGCUGUUGGUGUCUCUGCACUUGGGUCCCUCAUCCCCUACACUUGGGGAUCAAAUUUACUGGUACAUGAAGGGAGUGAACUUACACAGUGGAAGAGCCCAAGCAAGGGUGGGUUUGAGCAGGAUAGUAUAGAGGGGUAACAGGACAUGGGGGGAGGAGGUCAGGAGAACCCAACCAUAGGGUUUUCUUUCAUCAUAGGAUUGGAUUGCUGCCUACUAAGCUGUGACAUGAUUGAGAGGCAGGC
rnacentral:lncRNA from 1 species